rnacentral:rRNA from 1 species
UACGAAGGGGGCGAGCGUUGUUCGGAAUUACUGGGCGUAAAGCGCACGUAGGUGGCGACGUAAGUCGGGUGUGAAAGCCCCGGGCUCAACCUGGGAAUUGCAUUCGAGACUGCAUUGCUGGAGUACGGAAGAGGAAGGCGGAAUUCCCGGUGUAGCGGUGAAAUGCGUAGAUAUCGGGAGGAACAUCAGUGGCGAAGGCGACCUUCUGGUCCAGUACUGACACUCAAGUGCGAAAGCGUGGGGAGCAAACAGG